GCAUGGCUCCUAGUGCCCCACCCCCUUCCAUAUAGAACAUGUCCUCCUAUAUAAAGACUACAGCGUGAACACUGUGUACUAUCCAUCCUAACGCAGGGCAGGCUGUCCGUCCCCCAAAACUGUCCCGAAACCCAGUGCAAUUACAGAUCUUGAGAGCCAUCCCAGCUCUUCCCUCCGUUGUGACCCACCUCACACCACAUCAGCAGACAUGAUCAUCAGACUGGGCAGACUGACCCCUGGAUAUUUCCGCCUCCUCCAGAGGCAAGUAGCUGGUGAGGUGCAGACUCAACCACAAGACCGUACCAUCAACCAGAUAGCCAUGAUGCUGGCCAUCAUGGGCCUGAGUUUGUCCUACUACAGUGCCAAACAGAUGACGGAGAAGGUUCAGGCCCAGCCUGCACCCUGAAGAGACUUGACCACUCUGAUCUUGGAGUUGAUGGAUGAGCCAUUGAGAAGUGAAGGAGGUGGAGCGAGGAUGGAGAAACAGAGACAUGGCAGUGUCUUCCAGGACCGCACUUUUCUCACCUCACAGUCAUAGUCACACUCAGACACUGAAUUUCUGGGAUCCCUCACUCAACAUGCACAGAGAUUUCAGGGCUGCUGCCAGUGUUUUCUACACUUUCUGUUGUAAGGACCUUGAGGGAUUUUUGGGGAUGGCUCACUUGGAGUCAUGGACAGGACUGGGUUUAUGGACUGGUUUGGGUGGGUGAUCAAAACCAGCUGACUGCCAACUGGGUCUGACCAUUAGUCGUUACAAAGGUACAUGCUUGCAAGAUGCCGCCAAUACUGUUCUGAGCUUAAAGAAAAGAGGGGGGGGAUGGGGGACCUCCUGUGAAAACUGUGAAUUUUGCCAGUGCUCAAAUCUUGUCCAAAUAGGGUUAAAUUAUGUGAACAGUAAUGCCUUUUUAAGGGAAGGUUGUCUGCAAUUGAGAUGUACCUUGUAACGAAGUGAUGGCAGACCCAAAACACGGCUAAAUAGCAAGAAAGUUUGGCUCAACCCUUUUUAGGUUCUCUGUAUUUUGUCCUUCAGUGGGAAAACCUUGCAGAGCCUUGUGAACAGACAGGGAGCUGUACUAAGAAACUGUCAAUAUAUAUACUUGUGAAAUGUAUCUGUCAGGUGUCAGAGAUUCAUUGAAUAUUUGCACAAUACUGCAGAAACAUUUUAAAUACUACAAUAGAUUUGCAAAGGGACUUACAACUACUCACUACUUUUUUUUUUUUUUUUUUAAAUGGUGUUUUCUUUUCUGUGAUUUCACACUGUUUUAAUCAAUGAAGACAUGUUAUAAGAUAAUAAGAUGUGUGGCUACCUUGAUAAGAACCCUUCCUGCAGUAUCUACUACAUGUUAAUGCAAACAUUUAACUUUACUGAACAUUGCAUGGGUGUGCAGACUUUUAAUCAAAGCAAAAUUCAUGAGUCUCUUGUUUUUAUUGAUGAAUGAAUGUAUUACUUUGUUUUGUAAUGAUUUAAUAAAGCUGUGAAUAUUUUGAAAGAGA